AAUCCUUGUCCCAGGAGACUAUUCCUUCCUCGUGUGAGUCUCAAUAGUGAUGUCAUAGUCUCUGUGACUCACCUCUCCCAGGAGGCUUUAGUGUGUUAGUAAUAACACUCAUUAGCGUUCACCUGGGGUUUUAUAAGCAGGAGGUGACAGUGACUGGCAACCAUCUUCUGAGGUUUGGGAAAGGCCAGGAUUAUGACGUCCAUUUUGCCAAGAGGAAACAAAAAACAGACAAGCAGGUCAGCGCGAGAACGAAUGCCAGGAACAUCCAGAGUGCGCCAAGAAUAGACUGAGGGCUGGGGGUCGAUUUGGGAGAAGCAGCCAGGGUUUCUUCUUCAUGAAUAUGUUUCAUCGCAGAGUUCCAUUGGAUUGGAGAAAUUACAACUCCGAUGAUAGGCUCCGUGGUUGGUUGGGGUCCUGACAUCACCUAUCCCCGUGCCGUGAAGGUUUCGGGUCUUGUUCUCAUUUGACUUUACGCCGAGAGCCAAGUCUUAGCCAGAGCAGGAUAUAUAUUUUUAAAAAAUAAAAAUAAAAAAUAAAAACCCAUCUGCCCAGCUUUCCUUUAAAGCAGUCGUUCUCAAACUGCUCAAUACCAGAAGGGUCAGGAGCGCUUGUCGAAACACAGAAUGCUGAACUCCACUCCAGAGGUCCUGACUCGGCAUUUCUAACGAAUUCCCACCUGGUGUUGAUGCUGCUGGUCCGGGGACCACACUUGAAGAACUGCUAGUCUCAAUGAUUUAAGCUGGCUCCUGGAUACGGUGACCUCCUCCCAAGUCCGAGGAGCUGGCUCUUUGGCCCGGCUGUGCCACAGCCCGGCUCCGUCCACCCUCACGCCAGGACUGCUCCGUCUCUGCUUUGCGGUCUGCGUAGGCACACGGGGACAUUGCGGCCCGUGUCAAAAGGCCACGAGGCCCUGAAAGUUACUGUAGCAGAAUCGGAAACCUUACCAGGGUCCCUGCUAGCUUUUAGGAGAAGCACUUGAAGCUUCAGGGAAGAGACGUUUACAUCCUGGGAAAACCCCGGCUCCAGCAGCCAAGCUUUGAACAGGAGGCAACAGCCGGGUGUCUCCCCCCCCCCCCUCCAAAGGCCAUGGGACUCCCGGCCGUCAUCUGUGAGGGGCUCCGUGUACUCUCCACACUGCCUGGUCUGUGCCUCAGCCCACAAUCUCUUUCUUUCUUGAGCCUUACAGGAGAAGGUGAGAAGGGCUAAGGUAUGCGUUCCCUGUCACAAUUAAAAUAAAGUCCAAACUCCUGACCGUGGCCUGCCUGGCGCUCAGACCUCCUCUCCCUGCUCUCCAGCUCGUCAGCUCCACUCUGACCCUCUGGCCUCCCCGCUGUCCCUCCAACACCAAUCUUUUUCCGUCCUGAAUCUCUGCGUUCCCGCUGUCUGCUAAGCCAAGGAUCCAGAUGGGACACGAGACCGGUGGUUCAGGCGGCCCCUCUCCAGAGAGAGCUUCCUGUUCCCCUUCCAUAAGGCAGCCCCACUUCCCACCCAUUCCUUCUGUCCCUAUCUUCAGAGGACUCGUCACCAUCUGACACCAUCUCCAGGGUGGAAGUUCCACGAAGGCCACAACCUCGUCUGCCUUUCCCAGCCGUGUCCCCAGCACCUGGACCGUGCCUGGCACAUCAUACGGGUUCAAUAAAGAUUUAUGGAAUGAAUCUGUGGCCUCUGCCAGAUAUACUACGAGAGGCAAGGUCUAGAAUCCUUAAGCGACAUACCCCAGACCUUGAUUCUAAAGUCCAGAGUCUGGCUCCGGGUUUACUGCCUCACAGCUUGUUCAGAUGGGAAGAACCGGGAUCACAGAUGUCACCGCUACUGUCACUCUGGACAAAGCCCUCAACUUGUGUUGCCCUGACCUGCCUCACCUACCAAAUGGCUGGAUAACAUCGGUGUCGCCUGCCCCCAAGACUGUGUCAAGGCUCAGAUGAGGCCUGUUUCUGCACCCUGAGUACCUGUAAAACACCGGGAACACCUCCUAAUGAGUCACUUUCACUGGAAUAUUCCGUCACGAUCUGCUUCUGGGGAACCUAGCUUAAAACCGGAACAUGUUGAUUUCUUGACCGCGGCUCGUUUUCCCUGUCAUUCCGACUCUUUUUCCUGCGUCAGCAAAGACUCUUUAAUAGAAUACAGCCACAGAUACAGCAACAAGCACUCUUCCCAUUGGAUGAGAAGCAAUGGAAGACAAGGAGCCAUCAAGGCUUUACAUCUGUUGGGGCAGAAUGUAGAAUUUUGGCUUUGAAUUUUCUUGAGAAAAGACAGGGCAACAAGGCAAGCUUCUAACUCUUGUGCCCAUGAGUGUGUGGCCCUACUUACAGGCUCCCCACUUGGGGGCUCUCUUCAGAUAAACCUCUGCAGGAGCCAGAGUGGAGACCAGUGGUCCCUGAACGACUGGCACACACAGGCUGGACCACGUCACCUCCCCCAUUUAGAGCAAGGGGACCUUGUAGCAAAGUGGUGGGGGUGGGUGGGUAGGCUGAGUCCACGUGAUGAGUGAGUGGCCAUGUGUCCUCAAAAAGACUUUUAAAGAGUCAGUUCUCCAUUCCCUGGGGCUUUCUCAUCCCAAGACUUCCCAUCUUUGGAGAUCAAGUUCAGAUGUCGGGGGUGGGGAGGCAUCCCUCUUUCCGUCCAAGGGUUUCAGGCAGAAAAAAAUGGAAUGGCAUUUAAUAACUUCCCUCACUGCACUAUAAAGACAAUGGCAGGGUUAGGUGUUCCUGAGCUCUCUGGGAUUUUAUUAGUUUGUUAUACUUCAAAGGGCUCUGGUGGUGCUGCCAUAACCUACUUCGGAGGAAAACAUUUAUUAUUAACAUUGGUUUAACACUUAACUUUCUAGGGUAUUUGUGGAUGGCACAGUCAUACAUCUGCCUUUUUAUAGUGCUUCGCAGCAGAGCACAAGACCUCUGGCUGACACCUCAUACAUCAUCAAAAUUAAGACCUCUAGGCAAACAGGGUAAAGUAGGGCGGGGGUGGGAUGGGACAGCAACUUGGGAUGACUCAAAUGGUUUCCCAGUUAACUUUCCUUUAGAGAGAGACUGUUUCCAUUAAGGAGCAAAUUAUUCUUCACUUUAAGACACCCUUGUUUCCUUGGCAACCCACAACAACUUGAAAGGAAGGGUCCACCGUGGCCCUACAGCCAAGUGAUGCCUCCUACCUGGCUGGCAGCUGGUGGAGAUUAACCCAGACGUGGGGUCAGCCAGCCAGGGAUCAACCCCCCACCUCCUUGGCAUUCGACCCCCUGGCUCUCCUGUGCUAAGGCCAGAAGAAAUCUGGAAAGCAGCAGGUCAGGAUGACAGCAAGCUCUCCAUCUUUUAUAACCAUAAACUGUAUCCGCAUCAUGUCAGAAUCCUUGCUGGAGACUCAGAAAAUGAUGGCAGAAAACUAUCAACAAAAGAAGAGAACGACUCAUUUCUUUUUUCCUGACUCCCCUUCUUGGUCCAGCACUGGCUGACGUUUGGUCAUCGCUCUGGCCUGUCUAUAAAAACACAAGGGACCAUAACUGUAUGGUUUCAUAUGCUCUCACGCCCACGAGCCUUUCUCACUCAAAUUCGGCAAAUGGGGCGAGCAAGGAGCGAGGCGUUUUCGGGGGUUCUUUAGUAGAGAUCAUGUUGGCCCAACUUGACGAGGGUCAUAAACUCUACUUUGUACAAAGGAUCCUGAUCUUUAUUUUGAGAGGAACGACAAUUAUAGUCCCUGAGACCUGAGACCAACAGCAUUUUUGAGGAGGGAAAAGAAAAGAACCGUGAAGACGAAGAUGUGCUGAGAAGUGGGCAAGCACCCCCAAAUGGCCGUUUGGGGGAAUUCUCGCCUGAGGCGACAUGAGACCUUGCGUCUUUCCCACUGGCGAAGCGGCCGCUGUUUGCUCCGAGCUGUCAAGAGUCAACCGUGUGGAGUAUGGAACGUGACGCCAGUCCAUCUGCUGGGGGCCUUGUCUUCUUUUGUCAAUGGUGUGACAUCAGCAGCGCCGCUUGGCAUUUGCACCGCGCAUCGAAUCCGUGCCUGUUGGUUUCCAAACAUCGUGUCCGGAGAGAACUAGAGUGUAUUACAGCGCAAACAAGGAAUCAGGGGACGGGAGAGGACUCGGCCCCACGCGGGCGCUGCUCCAUACAAGCGUCCAAAAGGCACUGUGGGACAGAAGAUGGGAAGAGCGGAGAAAGCCUUCGGCGUUCUGGAAAGAGGAACAACACCAGCAUGGGGAAGCGCGGCUGGUCGGUCAGGAUGACGAAAGCAGUUGCGUUAAGUCACAGCUUCCCUGCACGGGUGUUCUUUCUCCAAGUCUGGAUGUCCAAUCGGUACUGGUCAGGACCCCCAGUUGUGGUACACUUGUUCUUAACUCCUGAACGACGGGACACAGUCUGCAGGAACACGUAUUAAUACAAACUGUGUAUUUAAUGCACAUGACACAGAAUUCUUUGUGGUGUCGGAUCCGGGGUUUUCAUGCCGAGAGAGGGAAGACACAGCUACAUUUGACAUCGCUCUUGUUUGGAUGGCUAAUCAGAGAGCACACACUACUCUAGAGGAAAGGUAAGUCGUUUUGUUGGCCAAAAAAUGGCUGAACAGGGGUGCAGGCACCUGAGAGGCUCAGUCCGUCAAGUGUCCAACUUCGGCUCAGGUCAUGAUCUUGUGGUUCAUGGGUUUGAGCCCUGC